rnacentral:rRNA from 1 species
UACGUAGGUGGCAAGCGUUGUCCGGAUUUAUUGGGCGUAAAGAGCGCGCAGGCGGUUCGUUUAGUCCGAGGUGAAAUCUCCCGGCUCAACUGGGAGGGGUCUUUGGAUACUGGCGGACUUGAGGAGAGCAGAGGUGAGUGGAAUUCUGGGUGUAGUGGUGAAAUGCGUAGAUAUCCAGAGGAACACCAGCGGCGAAGGCGGCUCACUGGGCUCCACCUGACGCUGAGGCGCGAAAGCGUGGGGAGCGAACCGG